GAUGAACGCUAGCGGCAGGCCUAAUACAUGCAAGUCGAACGGGAUUGAGAAGCUUGCUUUUCAUGAGAGUGGCGCACGGGUGCGUAACACGUAUGCAACCUACCUUCAACUGGGGGAUAGCCUUCCGAAAGGGAGAUUAAUACCGCAUAACAUAAUGAAACGGCAUCGUUUUAUGAUCAAACGUUAGGGUUGAAGAUGGGCAUGCGUCCGAUUAGCUUGUUGGUGAGGUAACGGCUCACCAAGGCGACGAGCGGUAGGGGAUCUGAGAGGAUGACCCCCCACACGGGUAAGGAGACACGGACCAGACUCCUACGGGAGGCAGCAGUAAGGAAUAUUGGUCAAUGGACGCAAGUCUGAACCAGCCAUGCCGCGUGCAGUAAGACGGUCCUCUGGAUUGUAAACUGCUUUUGUUAGGGAAGAAACCCCUGGAUGCGUCCGGGGCUGACGGUACCUAAAGAAUAAGGAUCGGCUAACUCCGUGCCAGCAGCCGCCGUAAAAC
rnacentral:rRNA from 1 species